GAAACUGGGCGCGAGGUGAGGGGUGCUAUCUGUGAUUGAGGGACAUGGCAAAUAGAAUUGUCUCACACAGAAAUCGCACCCGUCACCUUGGCCCGCCUA
rnacentral:pre_miRNA from 1 species